rnacentral:rRNA from 1 species
GACGAACGCUGGCGGCGUGCUUAACACAUGCAAGUCGAACGGAAAGGCCCUGCUUUUGUUGGUUUCUCGAGUGGCGAACGGGUGAGUAACACGUGAGUAACCUGCCCUUGACUUUGUGAUAACUUCUGGAAACUGGGGCUAAUACCGGAUAUGAGCUCCUGCUGCAUGGUGGGGGUUGGAAAGUUUCGGCGGUUGUGGAUGGACUCGCGGCUUAUCAGCUUGGUGGUGGGGUAGUGGCUUACCAAGGGUUCGACGGGUAGCCGGCAUGAGAGGGUGACCGGGGACAAUGGGACUGAGAUACGGACCAGAAUCCUACGGGAGGCAGCAGUGGGGAAUAUUGCACAAUGGGCGGAAGCCUGAGGCAGAAACGCCGCGUGCGGGAUGACGGCCUUCGGGUUGUAAACCGCUUUCGAAUGUGACGAAGCGUGAGUGACGGUAAUGGGUAAAGAAGCAACGGCUAACUACGUG